rnacentral:rRNA from 1 species
UACAGAGGGGGCAAGCGUUAUUCGGAAUUAUUGGGCGUAAAGGGCGCGUAGGCGGCCUGGCAAGUGGAAGGUGAAAUCCCUCGGCUUAACCGAGGAACUGCCCUCCAAACUGCUUGGCUUGAGUCCGGGAGAGGUGAGUGGAAUUCCCAGUGUAGCGGUGAAAUGCGUAGAUAUGGGGAGGAACACCGGUGGCGAAGGCGGCCACCUGGACGGAUACUGACGCUGAGACGCGAAAGCGUGGGGAGCAAACAG